rnacentral:tRNA from 2 species
ACCAGGAUGGCCGAGUGGUUAAGGCGUUGGACUUAAGUUCCAAUGUGCGAUUGCACGCGUGGGUUCGAACCCCACUCCUGGUA